GCUGCCAGUAAACACCAACGACGAAGCGCUUACGUCUCCCACAAAGCGGAAGGAGACUCAAACAGUUAGCUGUGUAUUAAUUUGAUAGUGCGUUCUGUUGCGGGCUGGAAGAGAGGAAGGAACCAGCAAGAGAAAAUGACAGAAAUUAACUUCACGGAACAUUGGCGGGCAGUUACGACGGCUCAUGGUGCCUAACACAGCUUCUCACUGCGAGUCAAACUGCAUAGCAAUCAGUGUGUGUGAUAAUACCUGGAGGUGGAUCACUGACACUGAUGUGAACAGGAACCUGCAGAUCUCCUGCACCACACC